rnacentral:rRNA from 1 species
UACAGAGGUCUCAAGCGUUGUUCGGAUUCAUUGGGCGUAAAGGGUGCGUAGGCGGCGCCAUAAGUCAGGUGUGAAAUCUCCGGGCUUAACUCGGAACGGCCAAGUGAAACUGUCAAGCUAGAGUGCGGAAGGGGCAAUCGGAAUUCUUGGUGUAGCGGUGAAAUGCGUAGAUAUCAAGAGGAACACCUGAGGUGAAGACGGGUUGCUGGGCCGACACUGACGCUGAUGCGCGAAAGCCAGGGGAGCAAACGGG